UGAAGUGUGAGGCUCCGAGAACCCCAGCCGGAGUGCAUGCCAACUCAGAGCCGCCCAAUGCCCAGGAGACCCGCCGUACCCAACCGCAUCCGAACUCCACAGAAUCGGCUUCAAUGCGAAAGGUUGAGAACAUUUUGCAUCGGAGCCCGAACAAACCGACGCGCUUGAUCUUUGUCGACAAAAGCACUUCCUGAUUUGGUCACGCGGCGUUAGUUGGCAUCAGAAAGCCAGCCAGGUCCUAGUGAAAAAAGGCAAAGGAGGGGGAAAAAAGCUCUUGAAAAGCAGCUACCAGUUGGUUUGAUGAAAGGGGAUUUCCCUUCCAAACAACGACUCUCUCUCCAUCCCUCCUCUCCACAUCCGUGUCCACAGAUCCAGAUCCUCCUCCAUCUCAAGUCCACCCAGACUAACACACCAUCUAAGUGAGGAGUCAACUAAGUCUGUGUGGAAGAAGCAACCAGAUUGUGUGAUCCAAAGAUGACAAUUAUGAACUUUGAAUAUGGUGAGGAGAAAAGUGUCAGAGCUAAAAUUAUGAGCACCCAGUGUGCGGAGGGGUAUGAAGGACAGUGAGAGCCCAACAUGCACCUGCAGAGGAGCUGGUCAGACUGAGCCCCUGGACCGUCUGCUCCAGCCACAGGAAAGAGUCCCGAACCAGCCUUCCUGGCACGCAGAGACCCUGGCGAUCUGGAUGAUCUGGAUCACGCUCUACGUGGACUAGUUGACCUCGCGAUAGAGGCAACCUCAGUUGAUUCUGGGUGCUCGUGUCUCUUAGAGGGCCCACGACAGAACUUUCUUCUCUGGCUUCUUGAAUAUUGAUGCGGGUCUUUUCCUUCUUAAGCAUUCUUUGUAUGUUUGUCUAUACUAUUAUGAUUUUAUUCUAACCACCUUUAUGCAAUUUUGGUUUUUGUUGUUUU